GAUGAACGCUGGCGGCGUGCCUAAUACAUGCAAGUCGAGCGAACGGACGAGAAGCUUGCUUCUCUGAUGUUAGCGGCGGACGGGUGAGUAACACGUGGAUAACCUACCUAUAAGACUGGGAUAACUUCGGGAAACCGGAGCUAAUACCGGAUAAUAUUUUGAACCGCAUGGUUCAAAAGUGAAAGACGGUCUUGCUGUCACUUAUAGAUGGAUCCGCGCUGCAUUAGCUAGUUGGUAAGGUAACGGCUUACCAAGGCAACGAUGCAUAGCCGACCUGAGAGGGUGAUCGGCCACACUGGAACUGAGACACGGUCCAGACUCCUACGGGAGGCAGCAGUAGGGAAUCUUCCGCAAUGGGCGAAAGCCUGACGGAGCAACGCCGCGUGAGUGAUGAAGGUCUUCGGAUCGUAAAACUCUGUUAUUAGGGAAGAACAUAUGUGUAAGUAACUGUGCACAUCUUGACGGUACCUAAUCAGAAAGCCACGGCUAACUACGUGCCAGCAGCCGCGGUAAUACGUAGGUGGCAAGCGUUAUCCGGAAUUAUUGGGCGUAAAGCGCGCGUAGGCGGUUUUUUAAGUCUGAUGUGAAAGCCCACGGCUCAACCGUGGAGGGUCAUUGGAAACUGGAAAACUUGAGUGCAGAAGAGGAAAGUGGAAUUCCAUGUGUAGCGGUGAAAUGCGCAGAGAUAUGGAGGAACACCAGUGGCGAAGGCGACUUUCUGGUCUGUAACUGACGCUGAUGUGCGAAAGCGUGGGGAUCAAACAGGAUUAGAUACCCUGGUAGUCCACGCCGUAAACGAUGAGUGCUAAGUGUUAGGGGGUUUCCGCCCCUUAGUGCUGCAGCUAGCGCAUUAAGCACUCCGCCUGGGGAGUACGACCGCAAGGUUGAAACUCAAAGGAAUUGACGGGGACCCGCACAAGCGGUGGAGCAUGUGGUUUAAUUCGAAGCAACGCGAAGAACCUUACCAAAUCUUGACAUCCUUUGACAACUCUAGAGAUAGAGCCUUCCCCUUCGGGGGGGCAAAGUGACAGGUGGUGCAUGGUUGUCGUCAGCUCGUGUCGUGAGAUGUUGGGUUAAGUCCCGCAACGAGCGCAACCCUUAAGCUUAGUUGCCAUCAUUAAGUUGGGCACUCUAAGUUGACUGCCGGUGACAAACCGGAGGAAGGUGGGGAUGACGUCAAAUCAUCAUGCCCCUUAUGAUUUGGGCUACACACGUGCUACAAUGGACAAUACAAAGGGCAGCGAAACUGCGAGGUCAAGCAAAUCCCAUAAAGUUGUUCUCAGUUCGGAUUGUAGUCUGCAACUCGACUACAUGAAGCUGGAAUCGCUAGUAAUCGUAGAUCAGCAUGCUACGGUGAAUACGUUCCCGGGUCU
rnacentral:rRNA from 1 species